CAGUCGCCGCGGGAAUACGGAGGGUGCAAGCGUUAAUCGGAAUUACUGGGCGUAAAGCGCACGCAGGCGGUUUGUUAAGUCAGAUGUGAAAUCCCCGAGCUUAACUUGGGAACUGCAUUUGAAACUGGCAAGCUAGAGUCUUGUAGAGGGGGGUAGAAUUCCAGGUGUAGCGGUGAAAUGCGUAGAGAUCUGGAGGAAUACCGGUGGCGAAGGCGGCCCCCUGGACAAAGACUGACGCUCAGGUGCGAAAGCGUGGGGAGCAAACAGGAUUAGAGACCCCAGUAGUCCCUGUCUCUUAUAC
rnacentral:rRNA from 1 species